CAAAAACAUACAUUAAUACACAUUGCUGCUGCCCUUGGACUUGCAGAGUUUAAGUCAUUUCUUCCCUACAGUGGGGAUGGAAUUCACCUAACACCUACUCAACCUACUAAACCCAGGCCCAGACUUCUGCCAGGCCUACAGACAGAGCCCAGGAUAAAGAGCCAAGGGUCUGGCCUGUCUUGAGGCCCACGGAUGUGCGCUCUGCAGGUGGAAUGGCCGCCCAGUGCUUACUUUGACUGCCCGCGGGUCCCGAGUCUUCUGGUCGUUAACUGAGGAAACUGCUGCCUUAUGAUCUGCAAGUCAACAGAAGAAUCAGUUACCAACUGGGAAGAGUUGGGAGCACAGUGACUGAGUUUUACAAACAGCCACCUACAGAAGGGAGGAAAACAUAGAUCCUUGGUUGCAAUGAAUUAUUAAAAGUCUGUGAAGACCCUGGAGAAGACUACUGGUGUCAGAGUAGGGCAUGCUUGGAUGGUUGUGGGGCUCUAGAUACUAAGGGGGUCUCACUUGGCCACUCUGUGCUUCACCCCCUCCUACUUACGAUGGAAGGAGAGUUCUAGUUGGUCCAGAACGUGCCACUCCCCUAUUUAAAACCCUCCAAUGGCUUCCAUGGCACCUGGAACUAAAACCCACACUUAGCCUCUGUAACUCAAGCUGCUUACCUUCUGGUCUUCCUCUCUUACAGUUCUCACCUUUACUCACCAGAUCCCAGCCACGCUGGCUUUUUAUUGUUUUCUCUAUUACAAAUACACCGGCAUUGCUCCUCACUGGGGGCCUUUGCACUUCAGCCAGGAGUGGAAUUUCACUCAGCUCUUCACAAGACUGACUCCUCUUUUUUUGUUUCUUGUUUUUAAUUGUACUUUAAGUUCUGGGUACAUGUACAGAUCAUGCAAAAUCGUUGCAUAGGUACAUACAUGGCAAGGUGGUUUGCUGCCUUUAUCCCCCUCAUCACCUAUAUCUGGUAUUUCUCACCUCAUUAUCCCUCCCCACCUUCCCCACCCACUCUGUCCCUCCCCUAGCCCCCCACCUACUGACUGCACUGUGUGAUGCUCCUUUCCCUGUGUCCAUGUGUUCUAAUUGUUCAAGACUGCCUCCUCUUAAAUCAUUCAGGUGUCUAGACAAUGUCCUUCUGCCCAGAGGCCUUCUCGGACCAGCCAGUGUAGAGUAGCACAAGGGUCGUAUGGCCCUGCUUUGUCUUCUUAUCACCUAGCACUAUCUGAAGUUAUCUUGCUCACUUGCUCUUUGGGUGCUUAGUUUAUGUCCUCUAUUCCUACUUGUACACAUGCUCCAUGAGAGCAGGGAACUCAUACAGGGUUUGGCACAAGCGAAGACCUCAAUCCAUAUUUGCUGAAUGAAGGAAUGAAAACUUGAAGGUAUCUUUUAUCUGUCUGCAGAGAAGAGGAUGAUAAUCGCUGUUGCUCCAGAAAACCACACCAAUUCACAAGAAAUCCGGGAAGAGAGAGCAUCUCUCAAGGUGAAGACAUAACCAUGGGGCCCCUUUCCUUGGGAUUUAUAGAGAUGACGUUUGUGGAGAGGUAUGACAGUGCAGGGGUUACUUGCAGGAACUCUGGAACUCGACUACCUGAAUUAAAUCCAAGCUCAGUCAUUGGUUAAGCUGGGUGCCCUUGGGCAAGUUAUUUAAUAGCCAUGUGACUCAGUUUCCCCAUUUGUAAAAUGGGAAUGAUAAUAACCUCUAGAGAAUCAUUAUGAAAUUUUAAAAAGUGAAUGUAUGUAAAUAAUUUGCAGCAGUGCCUGGCACUUAGUAAGUACUUACAAAAUGUUACCCAUUAUUACCA